CGGGGGGAGCAAGCGUUGUUCGGAUUUACUGGGCGUAAAGGGCGCGUAGGCGGCGCAACAAGUCACUUGUGAAAUCUCCGGGCUUAACCCGGAGCGGCCAAGUGAUACUGUCGUGCUAGAGUGCGGAAGGGGCUACUGGAAUUCUCGGUGUAGCGGUGAAAUGCGUAGAUAUCGAGAGGAACACCUGCGGCGAAGGCGGGUAGCUGGCCGACACUGACGCUGAGGCGCGAAAGCUAGGGGAGCGAACGGGAUUAGAUACCCCGGUAGUCCUAGCCUUAAACGAUGGAUGCUUGGUGUCCGGGGUUACAAAGUCCCCGGGUGCCGUCGCUAACGCAUUAAGCAUCCCGCCUGGGGAGUACGGUCGCAAGACUG
rnacentral:rRNA from 1 species